GAUGAACGCUGGCGGCGUGCCUAACACAUGCAAGUCGAGCGAAGCGCUUAAAUUAGCUUUCUUCGGAAUGACGAUUUUUGUGACUGAGCGGCGGACGGGUGAGUAACGCGUGGGUAACCUGCCUCAUACAGGGGGAUAACAGUUAGAAAUGACUGCUAAUACCGCAUAAGACCCCAGCUUCGCAUGAAGCGGUGGUAAAAACUCCGGUGGUAUGAGAUGGACCCGCGUCUGAUUAGCUAGUUGGUAAGGUAACGGCUUACCAAGGCGACGAUCAGUAGCCGACCUGAGAGGGUGACCGGCCACAUUGGGACUGAGACACGGCCCAGACUCCUACGGGAAGCAGCAGUGGGGAAUAUUGCACAAUGGGGGAAACCCUGAUGCAGCGACGCCGCGUGAAGGAUGAAGUAUUUCGGUAUGUAAACUUCUAUCAGCAGGGAAGAAAGUGACGGUCCCUGACUAAGAAGCCCCGGCUAACUACGUG
rnacentral:rRNA from 1 species